AUAAGAGUUUUCCGCUUUUACAAACCACCAAAACACCUUAGACAUUUCAUAUGACUUUUGACCUGUGAUCAUCAUUCACUGAUUAUUUUUCUUCCCUUUAUAGCUGGAGCACUUGUGUGUCAAACUUGCAAAAAUCAGGAGUGUUCAAGCACGGCACCACUAACGUGUUCCUCAGAGACAAUGUGUAUAACAGCUUCCAUUCAAGGUAGGUAUUUCUUUAUGUCAUCUAUUAACUUUCAGUGAAAUACAUGUACUGUAAAGUUAUGUGUUCUUGCCGUCAACAUUAACAAAUUGCACUUAAAUUUUGUAGCUACUUCAGCUGGAACCCCAGGCCAGCAAAUCUUCAAGGCUUGUGCAUCGUCCUCCCUGUGUCCAGCCGCAGGCUCUCAGACAUUUUCAGCCAACUUGGGAGCUGCGAGUGCACUUGCAUCUGUGACAUGCUGCAACACAGAUAACUGCAACUCACCUACUCUACCAUGUAAGUAUAUGGAUAAGUCAAUAUAAAAGAAUAAAGAUAUAUUACUAUGGAAAAGUAAUAUAACUUUAAAUGUUUUUUACUUCUCAAAUUAAUGAUGUUGUUCUUUCAUGUUUCAGUCCCUGCUACUCCAGCAGAUAACAGCCUACAGUGUUUCUCUUGUGACCCCGUCACCUCUCAAUGCACCAACCUAUUACAAUGUAAGGGAUCGGACCGCUGCUUUCAAGCGACUGUGGGGUCCAGCAGUUCUCCUGCUUUUGGCUGUGCAUCUGGAAACCUGUGUGCAGCUGCUACCAGCCUGGGUAGCCUACCUUUCAUGGAAAAUGUUGGUAACAUCAGCAGCGGACCUUCUUGUUGUGGGACCAGUUUCUGUAAUACUGUCACAGCCCCAACGCCAACAACUGCUGCCCCAACAACAACUUCUUCAGCACCAACAACAACAACUGUUGCAACAGCAACUACUGCUGCCCCAACAACUACUGCUGCCCCAACAACUACAUGCUGCCCCAACAACAACAACAACUGCUGCCCCAACAACAACAACAACUGCUGCCCCAACAACAACUGCUGCCCCAACAACAACAACAACUGCUGCCCCAACAACAACAACAACUGCUGCCCCAACAACAACAACAACUGCAGCCCCAACAACAACAACAACAACGACUGCUGCCCCAACAACGACAGCGCCCCAACAACUGCAGCCCCAACAACAACAACAACAACAACUGCAGCCCCAACAACAACAACAACAACAACUGCAGCCCCAACAACAACAACAACAACUGCAGCCCCAACAACAACAACAACAACAACUGCAGCCCCAACAACAACAACAACAACUGCAGCCCCAACAACAACAACAACAACUGCAGCCCCAACAACAACCGAAACAACAACUGCAGCCCCAACAACAACUGUUGCCCCAACAACGACUGCCCCCAAGGCCAACGACUUGCCCAACAACAACAACAACUGUUGCCCCAACAACAACAACGACUGCUGCCCCAACAACGACUGCUGCCCCAACAACAACUGCAGCCCCAACAACGACAACAACUGCAGCCCCAACAACAACAACAACUGCAACCCCAACAACAACAACGACUGCAGCCACAACAACAACAACGACUGCAGCCCCAACAACGACUGCAGCCCCAACAACAACCGACAACAACAACUAUCGCCACCCAGACAACAACAACUGCCACCCCAACAACAACAACCGCCGCCGCCCAGACUACUAUAACAACCAGCGCCCCAGCAACCCCAACUUCCACAACCACUGCUGCCCUUACAACUGCAAAUACAACCUCCAUCCCAGCAACUCAAUCAGCCACAAUUACAAUCAGACUGGGUAUGAGUCAUCUGCAGCUCGGACUCUUUAUUUCCUUUAUCCUCUGUUAAGAAAAAUAUUGGAUAAAAUACCUUUAAAGCUACCAUAAGGACUCUGAAAUGACCCUUUGAAGCCUGGACUUGGGUUUACUGCCCAUUGCCAUCUUUAGUUAGCAGUUACCGGGGCUAAAAAAGACCAAAAUGUAGGAAAAGAGGGGAUGGCGUCUGGGUGUAGCUGAGGUGGGACAAGUUUGCAGCAAUUGAACACACAAUUGAACGUUUUUGUCCACUUUGAUCGGGAAAACAAUUUAAUGUCACAUUGUACAUUGUAUAAGGGAUAAAUCACAAUUAACCUUGUGUUGAAUAAUAAAGGGAUUGUAUUCAAGGCUGAUUACUGCAACUCUUUAUUAUCAGGUUGCCCCAAUAAGUCCAUUAAAACGCUCCAAUUAAUUCAGAACACUGCAGCACAGUACUGACAGGAACUAGAAAAAGAGAUCACAUCUCUCCUGUACUAGCUACUCUGCAUUGGCUCCCUGUAAAAUGUAGAAUUGAAUUUAAAAUCCUCCUCCUCACCUAUAAAGCUCUUCAUGGUCAGGCCCCUUCAUAUCUUAAAGAGCUCAUAGUACCCUAUUACCCCACUAGAACACUACGUUCUCUGAAUGCUGGGCUACUUGUGGUUCCUAUAGUCUCUAAAAGUAGAACAGGAGCCAGAGCCUUCAGUUACCAAGCUCCUCUCCUGUGGAACCAGCUUCCAGUUAUGGUUCGGGAGGCAGACACCCUCACCACAUUCAAGAGUAGGCUUAAGACAUUCCUCUUUGAUAAAGCUUAUAGUUAGGGCUGGAUCAGGUGAGUCCUGAACCAUCCCUUAGUUAUGCUGCUAUAGGCCUAGACUAUCGGGGGAUUUCCCAUGGUGCACUGAGCUCCUCUCUUCCUCUCUCUUUAUGCACUCAUUCAUGUCCCAUUAAUGCAUGUUACUAACUCCACUUCUUCCCCGGAGUUCUUGUGCUUUCUCGUCUCGCAGGUUCUCAUGGAUCCUGGUGGAGCCUCCUGCCAUGGUCCUGCUUGACUGCCAUUGCCAAUACUGUUGUUGCUGUGCACCUGUCUGUCUGUCUCUCUCUCUCUCUCUCUCUCUCUCUCUCUCUCUCUCUCUCUCUCUCUCUCUCUCUCUCUCACCCCAACUGGUCGAGACAGACGACCACCCACCUAGAGCCGGAGGAUCUGUCCUAGGUUUCUGCCUUUUAACAGGCAGUUUUCCUUGCCCUUGUCGCCAAGUGCUUGCUCAUGGUGGUACUGUUGGGUCUCUGUAAUUAAUGUUAAAGAGUUCGGUCUAGACCUGCUCUAUUUGAAAAGUGUCCUGAGAUAACUUCUGUUAUGAAUUGGCGCUAUACAAAUAAAAUUGAAUAAUUGAAUUGAAUAGUGGGAAAAUGCAUUCAGGGAUAAGGUUUUGUCAUGUAUUCACACUCUGGUUGUCUCACACUAGUUAGAAAAAGGGUUAUUCAGUGUGCCAUGAGCUAAGCACAUUCCAAAGACCAAGGCUGUCUUGGGUAGAGUAGGGCAUCAGAUAUGUUAUGACUACUGUUUAUCAGAUAUUGGACGUCACCAAUAGACAUUCUUUGGGAAAGAGGCAUAUAAUGGAGGGAUUUUCUUUGUUCGAGUCAGUUCAUUCUCGAGACAACUCGGUUUGCUUGUAUCCUGUGUUGAUGCAAAUAAAUCUUGCACAUGGAGUGAAACUGUCAAUUCUCUUUGAUUUCUGUGAGUCUGUGUCACCAUUCUGGGUACCUUCAGUGGGAGUUUGUGGUCUCUCACUAUAGUCAGAUAGCUAAAAGUU
ensembl:lncRNA